CCCGCUGAACUUAAGCAUAUCAAUAAGCGGAGGAAAAGAAACUAACAAGGAUUCCCCUAGUAACUGCGAGUGAAGCGGGAAAAGCUCAAAUUUAAAAUCUGGGGGUCCCUGUGGCCCUCCGAGUUGUAAUCUAGAGAAGUGCUAUCCGCGCUGGACCGUGUACAAGUCUCCUGGAACGGAGCGUCAUAGAGGGUGAGAAUCCCGUCUUUGACACGGACUACCAGGGCUUAUGUGAUGUGCUCUCAAAGAGUCGAGUUGUUUGGGAAUGCAGCUCUAAAUGGGUGGUAAAUUCCAUCUAAAGCUAAAUAUUGGCGAGAGACCGAUAGCGAACAAGUACCGUGAGGGAAAGAUGAAAAGAACUUUGGAAAGAGAGUUAAACAGUACGUGAAAUUGUUGAAAGGGAAGCGCUUGCAACCAGACCUGCCUGCAGUUGCUCAUCCGGGCUUUUGCCCGGUGCACUCUUCUGCUGUCAGGCCAGCAUCAGUCCGGGCGGUCGGAUAAAGGCUUCGGGAAUGUAGCUCCUCUCGAGGAGUGUUAUAGCCCGUUGCGAAAUGCGGCCAGCCUGAACUGAGGUCCGCGCUUCGGCUAGGAUGCUGGCGUAAUGGUUGUAAGCGGCCCGUCUUGAAACACGG
rnacentral:rRNA from 1 species